rnacentral:rRNA from 1 species
UACGGGGGGAGCAAGCGUUGUUCGGAUUUACUGGGCGUAAAGGGCGCGUAGGCGGUCGUGACAAGUCACUUGUGAAAUCUCCGGGCUUAACUCGGAACGGUCAAGUGAUACUGUCGGACUAGAGUACAGAAGGGGCAACUGGAAUUCUCGGUGUAGCGGUGAAAUGCGUAGAUAUCGAGAGGAACGCCUGCGGCGAAGGCGGGUUGCUGGGCUGAUACUGACGCUGAGGCGCGAAAGCUAGGGUAGCAAACGGG